rnacentral:rRNA from 1 species
UUGAUCCUGGCUCAGGACGAACGCUGGCGGCGUGCCUAAUACAUGCAAGUCGAGCGGACAGAUGGGAGCUUGCUCCCUGAUGUUAGCGGCGGACGGGUGAGUAACACGUGGGUAACCUGCCUGUAAGACUGGGAUAACUCCGGGAAACCGGGGCUAAUACCGGAUGGUUGUUUGAACCGCAUGGUUCAAACAUAAAAGGUGGCUUCGGCUACCACUUACAGAUGGACCCGCGGCGCAUUAGCUAGUUGGUGAGGUAACGGCUCACCAAGGCAACGAUGCGUAGCCGACCUGAGAGGGUGAUCGGCCACACUGGGACUGAGACACGGCCCAGACUCCUACGGGAGGCAGCAGUAGGGAAUCUUCCGCAAUGGACGAAAGUCUGACGGAGCAACGCCGCGUGAGUGAUGAAGGUUUUCGGAUCGUAAAGCUCUGUUGUUAGGGAAGAACAAGUACCGUUCGAAUAGGGCGGUACCUUGACGGUACCUAACCAGAAAGCCACGGCUAACUACGUGCCAGCAGCCGCGGUAAUACGUAGGUGGCAAGCGUUGUCCGGAAUUAUUGGGCGUAAAGGGCUCGCAGGCGGUUUCUUAAGUCUGAUGUGAAAGCCCCCGGCUCAACCGGGGAGGGUCAUUGGAAACUGGGGAACUUGAGUGCAGAAGAGGAGAGUGGAAUUCCACGUGUAGCGGUGAAAUGCGUAGAGAUGUGGAGGAACACCAGUGGCGAAGGCGACUCUCUGGUCUGUAACUGACGCUGAGGAGCGAAAGCGUGGGGAGCGAACAGGAUUAGAUACCCUGGUAGUCCACGCCGUAAACGAUGAGUGCUAAGUGUUAGGGGGUUUCCGCCCCUUAGUGCUGCAGCUAACGCAUUAAGCACUCCGCCUGGGGAGUACGGUCGCAAGACUGAAACUCAAAGGAAUUGACGGGGGCCCGCACAAGCGGUGGAGCAUGUGGUUUAAUUCGAUGCAACG